AUAUCUAUCUGUGUGGCCAUCUCUUAUCUCUUCUUAGCGGUUACUCUCACCCAUUUCAAAGAACCAACCUUCCCUCUCCCCAAUUCCUUUUCAUUUCAAGAUAAUAUGCCUAGAAGAAGAUUGAGAGAUCUAAAUAUUAUUCAAAUUCCUCCAAAUUCAAAAGAAACAAAUAGUGAUUAACAGACUGCUAUUGGAUCUUCAAAUGUUUCGAAUACAGUUGAUGAACCUGUAGAAAUUCAAAGUAAUAUUAACUUUAAUUUACAUGCAUGUUGACUUUUAUUAUUGAUUUUUGUUUCAAAUUCUUAUAUUAUCAUAUACAAUUUUUUUUAACUGAAAA